rnacentral:rRNA from 1 species
AUGGCAUUGGUUAGAGAUUUUGAAAGCGACUCUUUGGAUAUUCGAAGGCCUAACUACUUCAUUUUAACUUUGAUACCCAAAGAGCCUGAUGCCAAGGAUAUGAGGAAGUUUAGGCCUAUUAGCCUCACUAACUGCUUUGUUAAGAUCUUUAGCAAUGCUAUGACCAAACGAGUGUCUCCUUUUGGUCAAAGACUCUUGUCUCCUUAUCAAUCUGUUGUUGUCCGGGGUAGAUUCAUUCUAGAAAGCAUGGUUACGACCCAUGAAGAAAUUCAUGAGAUGCUUAGUUCUGGUAGGCCUGGGGUUGUCCUCGAGUUAGAUUAUAAGAAAGCUUAUGAUCGAGUUAAUUGGGACUUUUAA